AACAGCUGAAUUUGUUUCUUUUGGGGAAUUACAGCGCGAAUCUAAGCUCAAACGCAAGUCUGAUCGCAACUUUCUAUACCUGCCAACCAGAAAACACGGUUAGGAUACGCCGGUGGGGUUCCGGCGUAGACCCUCUGAUGCUUAAGUUAGAAAUUAUGUAUAAAGGGAGAAAAAUGAGAAUGAAGAAUUAUGAAUGAGUUAAAGUCAAGUAAUUUUCCAGUAAAGGGGUUGAAAAUCUUGUAGAAGCUUUGGUUGAUUUUUCUAACCCCCUGGCCUGAUGCGCUCUUCAGUUUAAAUAGGCUCUUGGUCGUGGACGGUUACCUCCUUAACUUCAACCUGCUUUCUUUAUCAGUUGCAAGUGGUUGUCAGUUGGAGGUGGUUUAAAUAGAUCGUGGCACACAUCUUUCUUAUAAAUUAGGCCACAUUCUCUUAACUAGUAAUUUUCCAUGUCAAGCUAAUUCUCAGGUCGGACAAGAGAAUUUCGAGGUCGGAUUACUUCACUUUCAGAAUAGACAGAUGAAUUUCUCAGUCGCUCAUAUAGCCUUGAGGUUGUAUUCUUAAACUAGGUCUUUCACAUAGAUCUCAUAUUGUACUUGUAAACCAGGUCGCCAACAUAGGCUCCAGGUUGUACUUAUGAGGUCAACUCAACAGCAAUAAGUUCUGAGUAGAUUAGGAUCGACUAUAUUUCGAGCCACUACCAGAAAAAUCCAACCCAAACACCAGUCCCCUAGUUUUCAAUAUCGGAAAGUCAUUGCCGGUGUUGGAAACUAAUUAUUUAAAAAUAGAAAAAUUUUCUCAAAACCCAACACCAGUCCCCUAGUUUUCAAUACUGAGAAGAUAUGAACGGUAUUGGAAACUAAAACAAUUAAGAAAUAGCAAUAUGGCCGCAAGCAAAAGAAAAACGGUGUAGAGCGGAACGAUGAACAAAGAGAAGGGUAAGAAGAAACCUUCAGGUUGAAGGUGAGGUCUCCCUAACUAGUAGGGUUGUUGAAGAACAAGAGAGAACUUCCUAAAUUUAAUUAUUACAAUGAUUGCCCCUUUUUGCAAUAUGAACUUGUAUAGACCAUAUGCUACUGAACUUUAUUUUGCUUUUAUAGUCGGAUAAUUAUUAUGCUAACCUUGCAUUUUUUACUCUUUAUUUACUGGGGCUGGUUAUGACUUGCAUUUCGUAAACUGGGCCCAUCUAAGACUCUGUUGAGGUCAAACAAAUAGAUAUGGUCAACUUUGGUAGCAAUAAGACCGAGCAAUGACCUUGAAUUCAUCAAGAUUAUAUCAUUUCGAUGUCAAUCUCGAUAAGGAAAAUGUUGAUCUCACGAAAAUGUCAACCUCAACAAGAUAGAUUGUUGACCUUAACAAGGUUAAGUGUAGAACUAAAAUGCCGACCUCACAACAAGGAAAAUGUUGACCUCACAAAAAUGUCAAUCUUAACAAGAUAGACCUGUGACCUCAACAAGGUUAAGUAUAGAGCUAAAACACCGAACUCACGACAAGGAAAAUGUUGACCUCAUGAAAAUAUCAACCUUAAUAAGAUAGACUAUCGACCUCAACAAGGUUAAGUGUAGAGCUAAAACGCCGACCUCACGAUAAGGAAAAUGUUGACCUCAUGUAAAUGUCAACCUUAACAAGAUAGACUGUCAACCUCAACAAGGUUAAGUGUAAAGCUAAAACGCCGACCUUAUGAUCUCACGACAAGAAACAUGCUAACCUCACGAAAAUGUCAACCUCAACAAGAUAGAGUGUGGAACGCAAUAAGGUUAAAAUGUAAAGCUAAAAUGCCGACCUAAAAAAAAAUUGAAAAUUGGAGAACUUAAAUGUUAAGCAUAUGGCCGACCUCAACAAGGCAAUAGCCGACCUAAACAAAAUUGAAAAUUGGAGAACUUAAAUAUUCAGCUUAUGACCGACCUCAACAAGACAAUGGCCGACUUCAAGAAAAUUGAAAAUUGGACAACUUAAAUGUUAAGCUUAUGGCCGAUCUCAACAAGGGAAUGACCGACCUCAAUAAAAUAAAAAAAUUGGACAACUUAAUUGUUAAGCUAAUGACUGACCUCAACAAAAUUGAAAAUUGUAGAACUUAAAUGUUAAGCCUAUAGCCGACCUCAACAAGGUAAUGACCGACCUCAAUAAUGUUAUGGCCGACCUUAACAAAAUUGAAAAUUGUAGAACUUAAAUGUUAAGCCUAUAGCCGACCUCAACAAGGUAAUGACCGACCUCAAUAAUGUUAUGGCCGACCUUAACAAAAUUGAAAAUUGUAGAACUUAAAUGUUAAGCCUAUAGCCGACCUCAACAAGGUAAUGACCGACCUCAAUAAUGUUAUGGCCGACCUUAACAAAAUUGAAAAUUGUAGAACUUAAAUGUUAAGCCUAUAGCCGACCUCAACAAGGUAAUGACCGACCUCAAUAAUGUUAUGGCCGACCUUAACAAAAUUGAAAAUUGUAGAACUUAAAUGUUAAGCCUAUAGCCGACCUCAACAAGGUAAUGACCGACCUCAAUAAUGUUAUGGCCGACCUUAACAAAAUUGAAAAUUGUAGAACUUAAAUGUUAAGCGUAUGGCUGACCUCAACAAGGAAAUGGUCGACCUCAACAAAAUUAAAAAUUGUAGAACUUAAAUGUUUAGCUUAUGGCCGACCUCAACAAAAUUGAAAAUUGGAGAACUGAAAUGUUAAGCUUAUGGCUGAAAUUGACAAGGCAAUGGCCGACCUCAACAAAAUUGAAAAUUGUAGAACUUAAAUGUUAAGCCUAUAGCCGACCUCAACAAGGUAAUGACCGACCUCAAUAAUGUUAUGGCCGACCUUAACAAAAUUGAAAAUUGUAGAACUUAAAUGUUAAGCCUAUAGCCGACCUCAACAAGGUAAUGACCGACCUCAAUAAUGUUAUGGCCGACCUUAACAAAAUUGAAAAUUGUAGAACUUAAAUGUUAAGCCUAUAGCCGACCUCAACAAGGUAAUGACCGACCUCAAUAAUGUUAUGGCCGACCUUAACAAAAUUGAAAAUUGUAGAACUUAAAUGUUAAGCCUAUAGCCGACCUCAACAAGGUAAUGACCGACCUCAAUAAUGUUAUGGCCGACCUUAACAAAAUUGAAAAUUGUAGAACUUAAAUGUUAAGCCUAUAGCCGACCUCAACAAGGUAAUGACCGACCUCAAUAAUGUUAUGGCCGACCUUAACAAAAUUGAAAAUUGUAGAACUUAAAUGUUAAGCGUAUGGCUGACCUCAACAAGGAAAUGGUCGACCUCAACAAAAUUAAAAAUUGUAGAACUUAAAUGUUUAGCUUAUGGCCGACCUCAACAAAAUUGAAAAUUGGAGAACUGAAAUGUUAAGCUUAUGGCUGAAAUUGACAAGGCAAUGGCCGACCUCAACAAAAUUGAAAAUUGUAGAACUUAAAUGUUAAGCCUAUAGCCGACCUCAACAAGGUAAUGACCGACCUCAAUAAUGUUAUGGCCGACCUUUUAAAUAGGCUCUUGGUCGUGGACGGUUACCUCCUUAACUUCAACCUGCUUUCUUUAUCAGUUGCAAGUGGUUGUCAGUUGGAGGUGGUUUAAAUAGAUCGUGGCACACAUCUUUCUUAUAAAUUAGGCCACAUUCUCUUAACUAGUAAUUUUCCAUGUCAAGCUAAUUCUCAGGUCGGACAAGAGAAUUUCGAGGUCGGAUUACUUCACUUUCAGAAUAGACAGAUGAAUUUCUCAGUCGCUCAUAUAGCCUUGAGGUUGUAUUCUUAAACUAGGUCUUUCACAUAGAUCUCAUAUUGUACUUGUAAACCAGGUCGCCAACAUAGGCUCCAGGUUGUACUUAUGAGGUCAACUCAACAGCAAUAAGUUCUGAGUAGAUUAGGAUCGACUAUAUUUCGAGCCACUACCAGAAAAAUCCAACCCAAACACCAGUCCCCUAGUUUUCAAUAUCGGAAAGUCAUUGCCGGUGUUGGAAACUAAUUAUUUAAAAAUAGAAAAAUUUUCUCAAAACCCAACACCAGUCCCCUAGUUUUCAAUACUGAGAAGAUAUGAACGGUAUUGGAAACUAAAACAAUUAAGAAAUAGCAAUAUGGCCGCAAGCAAAAGAAAAACGGUGUAGAGCGGAACGAUGAACAAAGAGAAGGGUAAGAAGAAACCUUCAGGUUGAAGGUGAGGUCUCCCUAACUAGUAGGGUUGUUGAAGAACAAGAGAGAACUUCCUAAAUUUAAUUAUUACAAUGAUUGCCCCUUUUUGCAAUAUGAACUUGUAU
rnacentral:lncRNA from 1 species